rnacentral:rRNA from 1 species
AGAGUUUGAUCAUGGCUCAGAUUGAACGCUGGCGGCACGCCUAACACAUGCAAGUCGAGCGGUAACAUGAUUUGUAGCAAUACAAAUUGAUGACGAGCGGCGGACGGGUGAGUAAUACGUAGGAACCUGCUGAAGCGGGGGACAACCAAGGGAAACUUUGGCUAAUACCGCAUAACCUCGAGAGAGCAAAGCUGCCGCAA